rnacentral:rRNA from 1 species
GAUGAACGCUAGCUACAGGCUUAACACAUGCAAGUCGAGGGGCAGCGGGGGUCUAGCUUGCUAGAUUUGCCGGCGACCGGCGCACGGGUGAGUAACACGUAUCCAACCUGGCCCAUACUCGGGUAUAGCCUCUCGAAAGGGAGAUUAAUCCCCGAUGUUGUUGCGAUUCCGCAUGGUGUUGCAACCAAGAAUUUCGGUAUGGGAUGGGGAUGCGUUCCAUUAGCUUGUUGGAGGGGUUAACGGCCCACCAAGGCGACGAUCAGUAGCCGACCUGAGAGGGUGACCGGCCACAUUGGGACUGAGACACGGCCCAAACUCCUACGGGAGGCAGCAGUGGGGAAUAUUGGGCAAUGGGGGAAACCCUGACCCAGCAACGCCGCGUGAAGGAAGAAGGCCUUCGGGUUGUAAACUUCUUUUAGCAGGGACGAAGAACGUGACGGUACCUGCAGAAAAGCAACGGCUAACUACGUG